rnacentral:rRNA from 1 species
AGAGUUUGAUCCUGGCUCAGGACGAACGCUGGCGGCGUGCUUAACACAUGCAAGUCGAACGAAGCGAUUUAACGGAAGCCUUCGGGCAGAAGAUAAAUUGACUUAGUGGCGGACGGGUGAGUAACGCGUGAGCAACCUGCCCAUAAGAGGGGGAUAACAGUUGGAAACGACUGCUAAUACCGCAUAAGACCACAUUACCGCAUGGUAAAGGGGUCAAAGAAAUUCGCUUAUGGAUGGGCUCGCGUCCCAUUAGGUAGUUGGUAGGGUAACGGCCUACCAAGCCAAUGAUGGGUAGCCGACCUGAGAGGGUGAUCGGCCACACUGGAACUGAGACACGGUCCAGACUCCUACGGGAGGCAGCA